CUACGGGGCGCUGCAGUCGAGAAGCUUCGGCAAUGGGCGAAAGCCUGACCGAGCGAUGCCGCGUGAGCGAAGAAGGCCCUAUGGGUUGUAAAGCUCUGUCAGAUUGGGAAGAAAGCUUCGGGGUUAAUACCCCCGAAGUGUGACGGUACCAUCAGAGGAAGCACCGGCUAACUCCGUGCCAGCAGCCGCGGUAAUACGGAGGGUGCAAGCGUUGUUCGGAUUCACUGGGUAUAAAGGGUGCGCAGGCGGCCUGGUAAGUCAGGGGUGAAAUUUGACGGCUCAACCGUCAAACUGCCUCUGAACCUGCCAGGCUUGAGUCCGGGAGAGGAAGGUGGAAUUCCUGGUGUAGCGGUGAAAUGCGUAAAUAUCAGGAGGAACACCGGUGGCGAAGGCGGCCUUCUGGCCCGGAACUGACGCUCAUGCACGAAAGCCAGGGGAGCGAACGGGAUUAGAUACCCCAGUAGUC
rnacentral:rRNA from 1 species